rnacentral:rRNA from 1 species
GGAUUGUAGGCUGAAACUCGCCUACAUGAAGCUGGAGUUGCUAGUAAUCGCGAAUCAGCAUGUCGCGGUGAAUACGUUCCCGGGCCUUGUACACACCGCCCGUCACACCAUGAGAGUUGGCAAUACCCAACGUACGUGAUCUAACCCGCAAGGGAGGAAGCGUCCUAAGGUAGGGUCAGCGAUUGGGGUGAAGUCGUAACAAGGUAAC